UUCAAAUUUUAUUGGUCAUUCAUAUAUAGUUUGUGCUCCACGUGUGUUAUUAUGCACAGCAUAACGCGGAUAACGUCCGCGGUUACUUCGUGCCGGGCCAUCUCUAAUACAAACAUCAAAGGAGCUAGUAACAUUUCUAAGACAAAACCAAUGCCGACGACAUCAGGAUAAUAGACCAAACGGGCCUUGUAUGACUGAGGAUGGCUUGGUACUUAGUUGAACAUAUUCAGCAUUUACAGCUUCAAAUAUUGCAUGAAUUAUCUACGAAUACCAGUUUUUAUCGACAGCAAAAAAAUGAUGGCACAGCAAUUUCCGCAUGAAUGGCGACCUAGGGGAGUAGACUUUAUUCUAUGUAUGUAUCUCUAGCAUUUGAAAGAUCACAAGAUAGCAAAGCUGCCAAACUUGUUGGUUUUUUACGCAUCGCGGUGACCUUCAAGAAGUUCAGUAUUCAAUUCAUGAAUUUAAAUGGUAAAAUACUUUAGGCUGGAUACUUUUAAGAAGAGUUGGAGGUGUUCAAGAAUAUGUUGCAAUUUGUUGCGCUGCAGGUCUGCUCCAAAAGGAUUAAAAUGGACAUUUAUUUUUGUUAACUUAGUGCUUUUUUGUCCUACCCGUUUAUUUAGAAUCCUCGAGUUGCAUGCGUAUCAUCGAAUUCCAGAGAAUUAUUCCAAGAUGCGAAUGAAUAAAAAAAGAGCCUUCUGAUGGAAGCUGCUUUCUUUUAGUAGAUAUUUUUGGCUAACUAUAUUGUUCUCGUUUCUGAUUCUUUUGUAU